rnacentral:tRNA from 2 species
GCCGAAGUGGUGGAAUCUGGUAGACACGCAGGAUUUAGGUUCCUGUGCCUUCGGGCGUGCGGGUUCAAGUCCCGCCUUCGGCA